AAAAUUAUUUAACCUAUCUCCCGAAAACACUCAUUAAAUUAUUCUAUUUCAACAAUAAUAUUCAAACUGAAAAGGACAUCCUUUUUAUAGCCAAGAAAUAUAAAGUUCCUUUUGUAUCAGGAAUUAUUGAAUUACAAUACAUAUAUUAUAAUCUCGAAAUUAUAUGAUCUAUUACUUCUAAUUAUAUUUAUUUCAAAAACUUAUUAAAAUUAAUAAUAGAAAUUAAACGUUUUACGAAUAUAUUAAUAUCUAGUUUUUUAAAAAGAAAAUAAUUUCUAAUCACAUUUUAUAAAAUAAAUUAUAAAAUUCAUUUUAUUAUUAUAAACUAUUUAUUAGAACUAACAGUAUUUACAAAGUUUUAUAACUAUAAUAAUAAUAUUUCUAAACCUUACUAUUAAAAAACUUUUAUUAAAUCUUACAAUGAUAUUAUUAGUAAAUUUACAAAUUAAGUAUACAAACUCGCCUAAAAUUAAACGACUGUUUAACAAAAACAUUUCUAUUACUAUAAUUAAUAGUACAAUCUGCUCAAUGAAAAUUAAAUAGCCGCAGAAUCUGUGCUAAGGUAGCGAUAAUCAUUUGUCUUUUAAAUGAAGACCAGAACAAAAGAUUAAACGUUUCAAUUUAUAUCUUACUUAAUUUCUUUUAAAUUAUCUUAAAUGUAAAAAGACAUUUAUUAAAAAGAAAGACGACAAGACCCUAUUGAACUUAACUUAAGUUAAACUGGGGCAGUUAAUUAAUUAUUAUUUUAAUUAAUAAAAUUACAUAAAUAAUCCAAUAUUAUUGAAAUAAUCAAGUUACCAUAGGGAUAACAGCGUAAUAAUUUUCUUAAGUUCUUAUAACAAUAAUAGUUUACGACCUCGAUGUUGAAUUAAUAACCUAUUUAGAGCAAAAACUAACCAAGGAAGUCUGUUCGACUUUUAAAUAAUUACAUGAUUUGAGUUCAGACCGGUAUAAGCCAGGUCGGUUUCUAUCUUCUUAUCACUUUUUACAGUACGAAAGGGCCUAAAAAACUAAUUUAAUU
rnacentral:rRNA from 1 species